CUAAAGGGAACACCCUUUAUGCAAAAGCACCUGAACAGCACCUGAACAGCGAUGCAAUUGUCUACUAACCUGGCCACCAACGCGUCUGUGGGAAGGACAGUUUCCAAGGCGGGACCAGGGUCUGCCUGUGUCUACAGUGCUGGAGGCUGAGAAAUGUGUGAUCAAAGGCUCUACUGAUUUGAUUUCUGGUGAGGAAUUUUUUCUGGCUUAUAGGAGUUAGCCUUCUCACUGUCUCCUCACAUGCAACAGAGAAACAAAGAAGUGAAGAGAAAAGAAGAGAGGAAGAAAAGGAAAAGGAGUGAGGUAGUAUUGUGUCAGAAAAGGUGCACAGACCUUGGGAGGCGGGGAGAGAAGGAGCCCUGUAUCCAGAAUCAAGACCUGCCUGUGAGCAAGACUUGGCUGUGUCAAGACCCUCAGGGACUCCAAACAACUAAUGAGCCUUGACACCCAUGAUUAGGAGAGCUAUAUCGGAAAUAUUUGAUGCUCACACUCUCUUCACAACUGAAAGUUCGAUUCAAAUGCACAGCUUCGUUUCUUCUUGAU